rnacentral:rRNA from 1 species
AACGAACGCUGGCGGCAUGCCUAACACAUGCAAGUCGAACGAGACCUUCGGGUCUAGUGGCGCACGGGUGCGUAACGCGUGGGAACCUGCCCUUAGGUUCGGAAUAACUCCCCGAAAGGGGUGCUAAUACCGGAUAAUGUCUUCGGACCAAAGAUUUAUCGCCUUUGGAUGGGCCCGCGUUGGAUUAGCUAGUUGGUAGGGUAAAAGCCUACCAAGGCGACGAUCCAUAGCUGGUCUGAGAGGAUGAUCAGCCACACUGGGACUGAGACACGGCCCAGACUCCUACGGGAAGCAGCAGUGGGGAAUAUUGGACAAUGGGCGAAAGCCUGAUCCAGCAAUGCCGCGUGAGUGAAGAAGGCCUUAGGGUUGUAAAGCUCUUUUACCCGGGAUGAUAAUGACAGUACCGGGAGAAUAAGCUCCGGCUAACUCCGUG